AGUGAACGCUGGCGGUAGGCCUAACACAUGCAAGUCGAACAGCAGCACAGUAAGAGCUUGCUCUUACGGGUGGCGAGUGGCGGACGGGUGAGGAAUACAUCGGAAUCUACUUUUUCGUGGGGGAUAACGUGGGGAAACUUACGCUAAUACCGCAUACGACCUACGGGUGAAAGCAGGGGAUCUUCGGACCUUGCGCGAUUGAAUGAGCCGAUGUCGGAUUAGCUAGUUGGCGGGGUAAAGGCCCACCAAGGCGACGAUCCGUAGCUGGUCUGAGAGGAUGAUCAGCCACACUGGAACUGAGACACGGUCCAGACUCCUACGGGAGGCAGCAGUGGGGAAUAUUGGACAAUGGGCGCAAGCCUGAUCCAGCCAUACCGCGUGUGUGAAGAAGGCCUUCGGGUUGUAAAGCCCUUUUGUUGGGAAAGAAAAGCAGCAGGUUAAUACCCCGCUGUUCUGACGGUACCCAAAGAAUAAGCACCGGCUAACUUCGUG
rnacentral:rRNA from 1 species